GGUGGGCGGGGCCGCGGCUCGCGCGGCGGAGAGAGGCGCGCCCCCUCCCCCAGGUCAGUGCUGGCGCGCGGCGCGAGCCGCCUCCCCCUCCCGCGCGGCGGCGGGCGGGGAGCGGGGGGAGGGGAAGGGCGGGCGGCGCCGGGUGCUCGCCGCCGCCUCGUGCGAGCCGCGACGGCGGCUGUGAGGGGGCGGGGAGCGGAACGGUCGCGAUCGGAACCACGGGGGGCACGGAGGGCGCCGAGAGCGGAAGGGCGGGCGACUGUGGGGCGAGGGAAGGGCCGCGCACGUAGUGCACAGGGGGCAGCGUUUGUCCUUGUCCUUCCCGGCUGCCAGUGACGCAGCCGGAACGCUGCCGGUCCCUCUCUCCUGUUUACCCCUCGCGUCCGGGUACCGCAGCGGCUGUAGCCGGGCGCAGGAGGAUAGAGCGGGCGCUGCCGGGGCGCCCCUCAGCCGCGGGGCGGCGCCUGGGCCGCGGCUGCCGCCUCAGGGGAAUGGUGGGGGUGGGGGGAGCGCCGCCGCCUCCUUCUUCCUCCGCAGGCGGAACGCCGCCCCUCCCCAUUGGCUGUUUGGCGUCUAGCUUCCCGCCCGCCCCGGCGCGCAGCCAAUGGGAGGCGCGCAGCCCCUCCCCCGCGCGCAUGGCGUGCGGACGCUGGGGAGUUCCCCCGGGGAACGGGGGGGUGGGGGGGACGGCGGCCUCCCGCUCCGAGCAGCGACCGCGGCGCCGUGAGGCGGCGCAGGGUUGUGCGUGACCUGUCAGCUCCCCGCGUCCUGCGCGGCGCCUGUGUACCGUUCCUGAACGCUGGAUGGAGCUCGAAAUGGAAAUAAUACACUUAAUCCAGUCUUCCAGCAACACAUUUACAGGCUGGAAUAACGUUACAAGUGAAAAGCAUGUAAAAUUACACCCGACAUCAGUUACCUAUUCUGUCAUAGCCUAAAUGUGUUCUGUGCCUCUUCUUGUACAACUACGCGCAGCUUCCAUCAGUGUUAGCAUACCUCUCCUCCAUGAAGUUACGUCAGGAUGAGCCCUGUCAGCAUCCGGGCCUCACUCCCGUCUGCAUGCAGUGAUGUGCUCCUACCAGAAAAUGGUGAUCUCAGUGCUGCAUGAGUUACACAGCUGAUGAUGAAGAGCCCUUAUAUAACGUCCAAAGAACAGCCUUGCACUGACUUCUCCUCAGACUAUACUACUCACCGACUUUUCUCUUUGUUGUUAAGUUGCUGAACAUUGAUUCUGUGCCACCAGAGAAGUGUUCCUGGUUAAUGACAGCAGUUCAGAGGGAAGCAAUGAGACUGAAACUCCUGCGCCUUCAGACUACAUCUUUUCACUCUUUAACUACAAUAGGCCGAUGCCAAAGAUUUAAUAAAACUGGACAUCGUCUUCUAAAGCUGGAUAAUGAUGUUGACAGAACGGAUCACAGAACAGCUAAGAAGAUUGGGAACUUGCCUGCUCCAAAGACUGCUUCCCCUUGUUUGACAAGUCCCUAUGUGCAAGUCAAGAAUUGGCAAAUGAUGCAAGGAAAUGUAUCUGCUUUGGGAAAAAGUGUUUAUUAUCAGGGCGGGGAGGUGUUUUUCCCACCCUGGAAACGUUUUGGCUUGGCGGCAAUGGAAAACUACAAGCUCAGUGUGGAGUAUAUUAAAAAUCUCGGGAACAUAUCGUCAAGAUUUUACUCAAUCGUAUCAACUAGUAAAAUUAUUCCAAAAUCAAGUACCCAGCCAGUUAAGAGGCCUCCAAAGGCACCAAGGACCAAGCAGCCCUCCAGAGCUAACCAGCCACUGCUGUCAGACAUGGAGAAUCUGAUGCAGUGCACAGCCUUUGCAACAGCAGAUGAAUAUCAUCUCGGUAAUCUGUGUCAUGACCUGACUUCCCAUGGAUAUGUUGAAAUAACAAGUUUGCCCAGAGAUGCUGCAAACGUUCUGGUGAUGGGUACUGAGAAGUCUGCAAAAGAAGAUGAUCCUGGCAUGGUUUUUUUCUUCAGGGAAGGGGCUGUUGUGUUUUGGAAUGUGGAUGAAAAAAGUAUGAAGAAUAUAAUGCGAGUGCUGGAACAGCAUGAAAUUCAGCCAUACGAAGUUGCAUUGGUCCACUGGGAAAAUGAAGAGAUAAACUAUAGAAUAGGAGAAGGGCAAUCAAAGCUUCAUAAGGGAGAAAUCUUGUUAAAUUCUGAGCUGGAUACUGAUGAAGUCGUCCUGCAGAAAUUUGCCUUUUCAAAUGCCCUUUGUCUUUCUGUAAAACUGGCUAUUUGGGAGUCGUUAUUGGAUAACUUUGUGGAAUCUAUCCAGUCAAUUCCUGAGAUACUAAAAUCAAGAAGGAAGGUAAAACUAUCUCACGCAGAUGUCAUGCAGAAAAUCGGAGAACUUUUUGCAUUAAGACACCGCAUAAAUCUGAGUUCAGACCUGCUAAUAACACCUGACUUCUACUGGGACAGAGAAAAACUGGAAGAGCUUUAUGACAAAACAUGCCAAUUUCUCAACAUUAAUCGCAGAGUUAAGUUUAGGUUAACAGCCCUGCCUCAACCACCUAGACUUAAAUGGAUUGUGUACUUCCUGAGCCACUAACUUAGGCUUUAAAUAGUUGUAAGAAGAGGAGCUUUAAUUCUUUUUCUGAAAUGUGUGCAAGAAAACAAGUUUUAAAAAAAAUGUGAUGUGAAGCAGUCUUCUUACUGAUGACAUGAUCAUCCAGGUCAGUCCAUUGCAGGGCAAUGUAAUGCUUACUGCUCUACCAGAAUAAGCAUGAGAUACCUCUUCCAGUGGUACAGCAACCUUACAUACUUAUUUAGUUACUUUUGAGGCAUUCCCGUAAGCUGCAUGUUAUUUGCUUGCACUGUUUUGUGACUAAAUGUCACCCAGUAGCUGUUUAAUACCUUCAUAUGCAUAUCUAAAUUUGUAUUUAUUUUUAUGACUCUUUGAACUGAGAGUUGUAUUAGAACUCCCAUUGCUUGUGCACGCUACAUCACAAGACUUUGCAUCCUGCACUUUCACAGAAAUGUUAACAGCUUUCUGCAGUGAGCCCCUUUAUGGAUUGUUUCUGUAGUGAUCUCACACAAUGUGGAGAACCCAGCUUUGCCCUGUGUUUGAAAUCUGUUGCAGGUAAUGAAUGAAAAGCUUCAGCACUGCAUGGAGUUGACAGACCUAAUGCGAAACCACCUGAAUGAAAAGCACGCUCUGCGCCUCGAGUGGAUGAUAGUAAUACUCAUCACCAUAGAGGUUAUGUUUGAACUCGCAAGGGUAGUGCUCUGACAUCAGAAUAAACUGUGGAAGGAAACCAACAAAACCAUCGUGACCACAUGGCCAAGAAAAUUCCUGUCUCACAUGCUUCUGGAAAACAGUGGAAUUGUCUCUCUUGAUAAAUAUGUACAUACUCUACUCAAAUAAAGAAAUUGUGAACGUUA